rnacentral:rRNA from 1 species
UUUAAUGAGAGUUUGAUCCUGGCUCAGGACGAACGCUGGCGGCGUGCCUAAUACAUGCAAGUGGAACGCAUGAUUGAUACCGGAGCUUGCUCCACCAUUAAUCAUGAGUCGCGAACGGGUGAGUAACGCGUAGGUAACCUACCUCAUAGCGGGGGAUAACUAUUGGAAACGAUAGCUAAUACCGCAUAACAGUAUUUAUCACAUGGUAAAUGCUUGAAAGGAGCAAUUGCUUCACUAUGAGAUGGACCUGCGUUGUAUUAGCUAGUUGGUGGGGUAACGGCUCACCAAGGCAUCGAUACAUAGCCGACCUGAGAGGGUGAUCGGCCACACUGGGACUGAGACACGGCCCAGACUCCUACGGGAGGCAGCAGUAGGGAAUCUUCGGCAAUGGGGGGAACCCUGACCGAGCAACGCCGCGUGAGUGAAGAAGGUUUUCGGAUCGUAAAGCUCUGUUGUAAGAGAAGAACGUGUGUGAGAGUGGAAAAUUCACACAGUGACGGUAACUUACCAGAAAGGGACGGCUAACUACGUGCCAGCAGCCGCGGUAAUACGUAGGUCCCGAGCGUUGUCCGGAUUUAUUGGGCGUAAAGCGAGCGCAGGCGGUUUGAUAAGUCUGAAGUAAAAGGCUGUGGCUUAACCAUAGUAUGCUUUGGAAACUGUCAAACUUGAGUGCAGAAGGGGAGAGUGGAAUUCCAUGUGUAGCGGUGAAAUGCGUAGAUAUAUGGAGGAACACCGGUGGCGAAAGCGGCUCUCUGGUCUGUAACUGACGCUGAGGCUCGAAAGCGUGGGGAGCGAACAGGAUUAGAUACCCUGGUAGUCCACGCCGUAAACGAUGAGUGCUAGGUGUUGGGUCCUUUCCGGGACUCAGUGCCGCAGCUAACGCAUUAAGCACUCCGCCUGGGGAGUACGACCGCAAGGUUGAAACUCAAAGGAAUUGACGGGGGCCCGCACAAGCGGUGGAGCAUGUGGUUUAAUUCGAAGCAACGCGAAGAACCUUACCAGGUCUUGACAUCCCAGUGACCGUCCUAGAGAUAGGAUUUUUCUUCGGAACACUGGAGACAGGUGGUGCAUGGUUGUCGUCAGCUCGUGUCGUGAGAUGUUGGGUUAAGUCCCGCAACGAGCGCAACCCCUAUUGUUAGUUGCCAUCAUUCAGUUGGGCACUCUAGCGAGACUGCCGGUAAUAAACCGGAGGAAGGUGGGGAUGACGUCAAAUCAUCAUGCCCCUUAUGACCUGGGCUACACACGUGCUACAAUGGCUGGUACAACGAGUCGCAAGUCGGUGACGACAAGCUAAUCUCUUAAAGCCAGUCUCAGUUCGGAUUGUAGGCUGCAACUCGUCUACAUGAAGUCGGAAUCGCUAGUAAUCGCGGAUCAGCACGCCGCGGUGAAUACGUUCCCGGGCCUUGUACACACCGCCCGUCACACCACGAGAGUUUGUAACACCCGAAGUCGGUGAGGUAACCAUUUGGAGCCAGCCGCCUAAGGUGGGAUAGAUGAUUGGGGUGAAGUCGUAACAAGGUAGCCGUAUCGGAAGGUGCGGCUGGAUCACCUCCUUU